CCGUGAAACAAGACCGCGCCGAUGAUAGUGAGAUGCGCUCUCGUGAAAGUAGGUCAUCGUCAGAC
rnacentral:rRNA from 1 species